rnacentral:rRNA from 1 species
UGUAAUUGGAAUGAGUCCACUUUAAAUCUUUUAAUGAGGAUCCAUUGGAGGGAAAGUCUGGUGCCAGCAGCCAUGGUAAUUCCAGCUCCAAUAGCGUAUAUUAAAGUUGUUGCAGUUAAAAAGCUCGUAGUUGAAUCUUGGGAACGGGUGGGCUAGCGAGCCACAGCCUGUCCCUGCUUCUUGCCUCUCGGUGCCCCCUGGAUGCUCUUAGCUGAGUGUCCUGCGGCCCGAAGCGUUUACUUUGAAAAAAUUAGAGUGUUCAAAGCAGGCCCAAGCCGCCUGGAUACUGCAGCUUGGAAUAAUGGAAUAGGACCACGGUUCUAUUUUGUUGGUUUUCGGAACUGAGGCCAUAUAAGAGGGACCGCCCGGG